GAAAAAACAACGUCCAGGGCAGCGCGGCGGCGGGCAGCAUCGCAGCCGGCGGGGGGGCGAGAGGGGCCGCUCCGAAAUAGCCGUUCCGUGCGGGCGGAGCACCACGCGGCCCUCCGGAUGGAUCUUCCCGUUUUUGCCCCGCGUCCCCUUCGCGCCGCUCCGCUCCGCUCCGCGCGUGUCCCCGCUCCGCCCGCUGCGCCCCGGCCGCCUCCCGGCGCCGCCGCCGUGACUGACAGCGCCGCAGCACCGCGCGGAUCCCUGCGCGCCGCUCUCUGGAGCGGGCGGGCACCGCCGUGUCCUUCCGCCCGCGCCCGCCUCAAAUAGGCCGCGCCGGUGGGCGCUGGCGGCCGUCCGCAAAACGCGGCGCGGAGCGGAGCGGCUGCGGGGUGUGCUUCGUAGGGGGGGAAAUGCGCGGAGCUGACCGCUGUCAAAACGUGCAGAGUAACACGGUUCAGUUGCUCAAUGACCAUUUCCAUCAUUAAUGCUGUGUGAGCAGACAGUUCUGCGUGUAAGGACUCCUCGUGACACUUAAACAGAACACUGAUGAGGAAAAACUGUUCGGGCAACAAAUAGAAUCGUGAAAUUAUUCAGAUGUUUCAAUUUGGAAAGGAGAAAGGCUGUGUGCUGCUCAGAACCACAGACAGAGGCGGGUUGUGAAGAUAUCAUCAGGAUGAAUCGCCUGUUCUUCCACGCUCUUCCCAUGCCAUCAGUAGUGGCUGCUUUAAUCAGGAGCAUUCUAAUUAGCCAGGACAUCACCCGGUGCGUCUCAGUGAUGGCAGUGUAGCCAUCACUACCACCUAACUGUUUGAGCACAGCAGCCAUCCUAGCUGUGUCGUUACUUAUGCUGACAUUAAUUGGAG
rnacentral:lncRNA from 1 species